CAAAGUGUAUUAUAAAUGAGAGUGGGUACAAGUCAUGGAAACUCAUCUCAAGCCAGCUUAAGCAAAAAAGGAGGUUAUUCUGGGGCUGCCUUUUCCAGAUCCCUCCAUCCUUUCCGCCUGCUGCCCUGUGAGCCAUUCCAUUUCCAGCUCUCCACCCAGGGGCAGACCCGGCGAGUUCGGCAUCCGUCUCCUCCCGUGAACCCACGGGCUGCUGAUUCUUUUUUCCCUUCUUUGUCUUUCAUUGCCCGUGGUCUGCCAUUCCCCAUUCCCCCCUUGGCCUUCCUAGCUGUGAGAGGGUGAGCAGGUGUUGAGAGCAACUUUGUUCUUUUUGAGUCAAUCUCAUUACAUGGAAAAGAUCCAGCUCUCUCCGGGUAGCUGGCAGCUCCUCCAAGGCCGGACCACUGGGCAGGGAUCCCAAGAGCAGUGUUAGUCCGUUCGGUGUCACAAGGAGCGGGGCCAGGCCGCCUCAUCCCUGCCCCCAAGAGCAGGCUGCUUUGCAAACAGAUGUACAAAUAAUCGGAUGCCUCGGACAGAAGGCCAUGGGCUGUAGGAUCGUGGCAGUUCGGAACCAUGUGCUCUGCAUGGGGACAUUUCUGCUCAGGACAUUUCUUUUGUUCGCCGCUCAGUCGUAUGCCGUCCCUGGGUCUCUUCUAUGCCCCCCUGCUGCUGAGCACAGGGCUCUGGCUGUUUGUAUUUGGCGAGUGAGAGGAUGUGCCUGUCCGGCGAAGCUAACACCGAAUCACCAAGCUCUUUUACACGUGGCCGUUGUUGUGCACCGUGUGUUGGAUUCAAGCUCCAGCUGCCUGCCAGAUGUUCCACAGCCUGCAUCCAUUGUAGUUAUGAGUCUUAGCUUCCCCUGGCCACGUGGAGAUAGGGCAGGUUCUAGGAAGAUCCUGGUGCAGCCACUUCCUGGCACUGUGACCUUCGGCAAAAUCUCUGGCUGCAGAGUGGUGUGUGUGAACAAUGGUGACGGGCAGCAAGGAACACUUGAGUGAACUUGUCAGAAAUAGGAAUAGCAAGAAAAUUUGAAAGAGCCUCCUGUUUUAAGAAGGUACUUGACUACCUUUGGAUCAAUUCAGAGAGGCUUCAAUGACUCUUAAGAGGAUUAGGCCAGAGGACUUCAGUGAAACUUUUGUGCUUUUGUUUUCUAGGGUGGAAACACUUGACAAGCGUUACAUACAAACAACACUUAAGGUGGAAUAAGAGCUUUUCAAUGAUCUAUCCAAGGCCCAUACUACAAUUGAGCAUCUCUUAAGAGCUUUAGAGUCUAUAAACAUUUUCAAAAUAUUUCAUUUAACCUUCACAAUGAUCGAAAUGCUUGAAAAAUCCUACCUUUUAUGAUGUCUCUAUUAGAAGCAUCGCCAAGAUCCUCGACAGCCAUUCAAAAGGAUGAAGUCUCUAGACCUGUCGCCUUCUUCCUCUUUUAUAUGACUCUUUUUAGAGAGAUUGCCUGGAAAGGGGUAAAGCGAACAUCCUCAGCCCUGUUUGCAAUUGUGGACAUUGAGGCUUAGUGUGGUGAAGUGAGUUUUUUGGAAUUAUGGCAGAGUAGUAAGUGGCAGAGUUAGAGCACGAAAUCCGGUCAUCUGACUCUCAUUCUGUUAGGGAGAAAAAGGGAGAUGGUGACAAUGAGGGAAUAAAACCAUGUCAACCUCCUGCUGUUGCUGCUGC
ensembl:lncRNA